GGAGGUCAGGGCAGGACAGACUGAAAUUGCACUUUCUCAUUCUCUGCACCUUCAUAAAUAACCUGGUGGCUGUUGGGGAUCAGUCGAUCUUGCUGUUGUAUUUGAUGUAUGAGCCUAGAGAGUUCACAACUGCCCUGUUUGGGGUAUUUAACUCUGUGAGGAUGCUCUUGAUGGGCUUUGGUCUGCUGGGUCUAUUUCCUGUGCUGAUGA